GCAUUCCUCGAGUAAGGAGCCACUCUCCACUGAGCUUUUGGAGCAAUGAUCUCUCCAGCUGCAGGCUGGGGACAGGCCAGGCUGGGGCUCGGGGGACAGUGUGGAAGGCCAUGAAUAAUCGGGAAGAAGCAGGCAAACUGAAGAAAGUGGGGAGAACCCAUGCAGGGAUGUUGAUAAUGCAAGCUAUGCUUAUGCAGGGCACAGCUCUGUGGCUUCUGCUCAGUGUUGCUGUGGACCUAAAACCACUCUAAAAAAUAAAGUGCGUUUAUAAGACAGAAUGGGGAUGAACCCGGAACCCAGGAUCAGGAAGAGACUCUCCAGGCUGGGCACAGAUGACCGACACCCCAUGGUUGCUGCCCAGGGACGCAGAUGGAAACUGAGUCUUUGCCCAUCACGCUUCUAACUCCUGUGCUGAAAUUCCUCCAGCAGCAAACCGAGCUGAUUGCUUUGGGCUUCCUGCUCCCAAUGAGGUUGCCAGGCCGUGAUUUCUCAUAGGCCAAACGUGGCAGAUAGGAUCCUAAGACAGAGCUCCCUCACCCUAGGAACAAAGUGUGUUUGGAAGCAGACACUUUCCUGGAGCAGCUGAAUGGGGUUGCCCAGCCAGGGUGGUAUGCUGGUAGGGGCUCUCUCCUGCCCCCUAACGCUGGGCUUCUGCUCCUGCUGGACAGCACCUGAGGUCAGACAUGGGCUAAGUAUAGCUGCCUUCUAGCCGGCUGUCAGCUGCACCGCGCCCAGCUCUGGGGCUCAGUGUCAGGCUACAUCAUGGGCUGGGGGCUUUCUGAAGGAGUCCUACCUCCUCUUGCUUGGGUUCUAGGCUCAGGAGCAGACCCCACUGAGCAGACUGGACAGCGGGGUUGGGGUACAUGGAGUUGGAGGAAGGGCCUGGUGGGGCCUGGUGACACAAAAGGUGCCCAAGGCUCAGGAUUUGGAGCAAUAGGCUCAUCUGAAACAGAAACCCUUGCUCCUAGGUUUUCCAAGUUCUUGUCACUGCGUCUGUUGUGCACUUGCUGGAGGUUUGCGUGUGGGAGACAAGAAGCAGAAGACACUCAUUAUCCCCGAGUGCCAAUUACUUGCUCUCUGUGUGGAGCAUGGCCAAGGUCAAGAAGCCACUCGCAAUGGGCAGGCACAUUCCACACCCAACACAUAGUGACAUCGUCUGUGUGCCAGGCAUGGCUCUGAGUCUAUGUGGCUGUGAACAGAUUCGUGGUAAUAACCACAGCUAAAUGAACGCUCCCAGUGGCCUGUCCCCCAAGCAGGAGGUGCCCCUCAUCCUGCAGAAGGUGCGUGCUCAGCAGUGGAGACUCAGCAAAUGUGGCAACUGUGGCCUUCCUGAUAUGCACUGGGUGAAGGUGGAGGACGGAGGUGUGCAGGGAGGUGACCCUGAGGUUAGAGCCCCCCAGGCCUCUGCCUGUGUCUUAGGAUGAGACUUGGCCCCCUGUAUGUCACUGUGAAGGGGAAUGAUGGGGGGGUUUAAAAUUUUAGAGAAAAGCCUGCUAAGAAAGCCUGCCAAGAAUGCCCGCCAAGCCCAGAGGACAUGUCCGGGCAAGCUUGAUCACAGGACAUUCCUUUCUUUAUGGAACCCCUGAUUUUACUGCCUUUGUGCAGCCAGUGGCCUUGCAAUGUAACAUGGGGUGUUCUUUACUGCCUUUGUGUAACUGAUAGCCUUACAAUGUAACUUGAGACGCUCUAACCCCUUACCAACCCAUGAUGUCUCCCAACUUGCUUUGCACCUCCUGGCUUACCUUCCCUUUACAAGCCCUCAAACUCUGCCGUGCAGGGCUCUAACUCUAGGAGAGAUGCUAGUCAGAAGCCCACUGGUGUAAUAAACUGCUUCCUAAACUUUC